rnacentral:rRNA from 1 species
CAUAGGGUGUCAGCCGCCGCGGUAAUACGUAGGUGGCAAGCGUUAUCCGGAUUUAUUGGGCGUAAAGGGAACGCAGGCGGUCUUUUAAGUCUGAUGUGAAAGCCUUCGGCUUAACCGGAGUAGUGCAUUGGAAACUGGGAGACUUGAGUGCAGAAGAGGAGAGUGGAACUCCAUGUGUAGCGGUGAAAUGCGUAGAUAUAUGGAAGAACACCAGUGGCGAAAGCGGCUCUCUGGUCUGUAACUGACGCUGAGGUUCGAAAGCGUGGGUAGCAAACA